rnacentral:lncRNA from 1 species
CUCAGCCUGACUCUUCAUUCCUGCCUUGUGUGACCCAGGGAUGGAGGACUGCCCUCCCAACUCAUUAUCCUCUUUGCCCAGGAGCUCCAUCCUGUUGCCAUCUGCUAAAAUCCUCAGCCCACCUGCAUAGUGAACAGCAUUCAUUGUUUUCCAGAAAUGUGCAAGAACCACAGUCUCCCCCAAGACUGAAGAUCUGCUUCAUCGACAUGGCAGGGAACGUGGCUGAACACAGAGGACUCAUUUUUGCAGCUUCCCUACCAGAGAGAGAGAGACACCCUUUUUACCCGAGUUCUGAGUUGAAAUAUCCUAGAAGAGAACUCUGAUUGGCCUGGCUUGGGUCACAUGCCUGUCCUUGAGUUGAUCAACUGUGAUUAGUUAUAAGUGUACUCAUUAGUAACUUCCCCUGGAACCUUAGAUUUGAUGUGGGGUAAGACUUCCAAAAACAAACAAAAAAAUAAAACAGAAGAAUGCUAUUUCUGGAGAAAAGAAUCUGAAAAAUAGAUUAACAAUAUAAAGGCAGCACAAGUAGCAAAGAGUUAAUAAGCUGUAAUUUCAGGAGCACUCCCUUAUUGUCUCAUAAUUCCUUGGACUACCUCCAAUAGUUAAGAAUCUUAGUAAUAACACUCUGAAAAAGGCAACUUGUGAAACUCACUUGAGUUUAAAUGACUGGUAGGCCAUCUCUUUUCUGAGAUCAGAACCUUUUGUUUGCAGAGGGAGAAAGAAAUAGGAUGGAGAAGGCAGACUUAGA